rnacentral:tRNA from 1 species
CCCUGGGUGGCUUAGUCAGUUAAGCACCUGACUUCAGCUCAGGUCAUGAUCUGGCAGUCUGUGAGUUCGAGCCCCACAUCAGGCU